rnacentral:rRNA from 1 species
UCGAUGAAGAACGCAGCGAAAUGCGAUACGUAAUGUGAAUUGCAGAAUUCAGUGAAUCAUCGAAUCUUUGAACGCACCUUGCGCCCCUUGGUAUUCCGAGGGGCACACCCGUUUGAGCGUCGUGAAAUUCUCAACCUCCUCGGUUUCUUCUGGAGACUGAAGGAGGCUUGGACUUUGGAGGCCUUUGCUGGCGUGUCUCGCCAGCUCCUCUUAAAUGAAUUAGCGUGGUCCUCUUUGCCGAACCUCGACACGUGAUAAGAUGCUUCCGUGUCUCGGUUUCUGGCUCUGUUGCUUUUGGGACCCGCUUCUAACCGUCUGGACCUUGCGUCGAGACAAUGUUCGAGCUCGUAUCCCUUCUUGGGAAACCCCCUCGACCCCACGAACCCUUGGCCUCAAAUCGGGUGAGACUACCCGCUGAACUUAA